AAAUGUGAGGGCCAUCUGGCUGCGACAUCUGUCACCCCACUGAUGGCCAGGGUUGAUUCGUCUGAUCUGGCUGCCUAGGCGGGUGUCCCCUUCCUCCCUCACCAAUCCAUGUUUGGCCCUCCCGAAGCUUCUGCUGCUCCCCUAAUAGAGGACAGGUCUUCAGUGAAGGGUAUAGGAGUAGCUGCUCUCCCCUGCUAGAACCUCUAAACAAACCUCUCAAGGACAAAGGGAUCACAAUGUGAGUGGCUUAAGUCGGAGUCACCAGCUCUGAGAAACACAGUGGUCUGAUUCUGUGU
rnacentral:snRNA from 1 species